UGCAGCUGGGAACAUGUCAUGGAUUACAGCCCCCAGUUACCUCUUGCUCUGGAAGGGGAGGAGGCUGCCUUGUUCCCCAGAGCUACCACCCCCCAACACAUGGCCCCUUCAGAACCAUGUUCCAGCUACAUUUUACUGGUUGCAAUGAGGCAAGGACAGACACUGAGGCAACGUGAGCAGCAGGAUCCUAUCUCCCAGACACAGAGACCACGACUAUGACUAGCAGGCACAGCCUGUUUCUCACCAAAGUCCUGGGAAUUUUGGGCCCCAAGAAGCAGGGGGCUCCGCCUCAGCUGCUCUUCUACAAGCAGCCCCUUCCUCCAACAAGUGGGGCUUCCUCUCAUUGCAUGGCCCCAUGGAAAAGGGUUUCUAACACUUGGUGAAACGAGGCCCUAGAACAGAGUCCACAUAAGAGUACUGGGGGCAGGAAGCCUGAAAAGUCCUGCUAGGACUGCGACCUGCCUUAUGAACAAGACUGUGUUUUGCUGCAACAGCGAUGGAUGGGCUGUGCCCAUCUCUUCCAAGAUGUCCAUUCAAUGGAUGCUCCCACCUGCAGGGCUGGGCCCCAGAGCCUCCUUCUGGUCUGGAUUUGCUUCCCACCUGCUCCUGAGCCCGUAUUCCCACCCUGCCCCGGGGGGCAGGCAGAGCUAAAGGUCAAGGCAGAGGUGGAGGAGGGGCUGUCUCUGUCCUUGCCCAAGGCACUGCCUAAGCAGCACUAAAGCAGCAACAUCUGAGGGGGAGGCCAGGAACCCGCUCGCAAACAGACACUUGGACCCCACAGUCAAGGGCUGUAUUAAAAUGGGACGAAAUGAAAUGUACUGCCCCGCUCAUCUCCGGACCUGACCCUGCCGGCCCCUGCUUGGCGCUUUGAAUGGUGGCUACAGGUUUCCCUCGCUUUAUGCGGGUUCUGUUUGUGCGAAUUCGUUCUUACAUGAUGACCCUUUUUAUACCAAAAUGUUGUUAUGUACGAGGUAAAUUCACUUAUGCGAUUUUUGCGGUGGAAACCCACAGGCAGCUGCUUUGUGCGGUGCAUUGUGGGAGUGGUGCACACCAAAAUACAGUCUGUGUGGAUCUGUGCUUCUUGCUCGUUGUCUGCGACACGUGUUUCUGUAGUUGCCAUCCCCACAUUCACCACCACCCUGUGCUUGUGUGUACUGUCUGCUGUUGGCAAGUACCAAAAUUGUCUGUAAAAGUGGUAGAAAUAGGUCUGGGGGUCAGUACAGUCAAUGUCCUGGAAUGUAUCCCUGUUUGUUACAUUGUAAAGUGGGUCCCCUUUAUGCCAAUUUGAGUUAUGCACCAUUUUCUAGAAACUCAUGUACAGCAUAAAGGAAGGGAAACCUGUACGAAAAGUCACCAAACCACCCAGGGGGCUGGCAGUGGGCUGCCCUGUUGGGGAGGGAGACACCCUGGGACCUGGAGGGGUGGUUGGCGGCAAACCCAGUCAGUCCUCUCCCACACUUGGCUCACUCUGCAAGUCAGGUACGCUCUUGUUUUAUACACUGCUCUCUCAAAGGGAGUGGGUUCCUCAGGCUACUUGAUGAAUCUUACAGGAUGAAUCCCAGCCCGGCCUGUCUCUUCCUCCUGGUCCCCCUCCUUGCAUGACAGCUGUUCCAGCAGAGCCAGAUGUUUCCAGUACAGUGUGUGAUGCCACUUUGGCAGUGGCAGAACCUGGCCCUAGAAAGUUCAUGUUCAGUUAUAAUUCGGACAGACUGACGGUGUUCUUCUGAGGAACGCAAGGGAGAAAAAGGCAGUGUUGAUAGUGUGUUCAUAUGUUUUGCAAAAGCUAAAUGGAAUUUCAUGGGACAAAGACAAGGCCCUUCUCUAGCCUAAGGGUGUUCGGGCAGCUGAAUGCUGUAUCCCUGCUGCAAACAAUGUUUGUUAUAAGCUUGUUAUACUACAACAAAGCUUUUUCCAAUAAGAGCAUGUUAUAAUAGACAGCUGUCUGCAGUGCUAGUGCCAUUUCCUUCCCUGGGGAGAAUGCUGUGUUCAGCCACAAUUAACCUUUAUGGUAUUUCUUUCUUCUGUGACCAAGCCACAGGUGGUGCUCUUCCUUCCCCAACAUACAUGACUCAGAGGAAGGAGCUGGAUAGGUGGUCCAAAUAGCCAUAUCUGCCAUAUGUGCACAACAUGCAAGCCCCAGGAACAUGUACACUUCUUCCCUGGCCAGUUUCAGCAAGCACAGUGAGUGCCACAAGAAAGCAUACAAACUGUUUCGAAAGACACUGCCCUGCCAUUCCCACUGGACCUAGGAGUAUUUUGUUAAUAUAAACCUUAUGUUUGCAUAAGAAGUUGUAGCACCAUAAGAAGUUUAGUCCUUCCAGUCUAAUUAUAGCAGUAUGAUCCUCAGCAUGGAUGUUCUUAUACUGGUAGAUUUUGUCCCUGUACAGGAAGGGAAUAAGUUCUGUUGUGGCUGUAUAAUUGAGUCCGCAUGAGCAUUUAUUUUAACUGCAAAAUAAACAACUCUGGUUUAA